rnacentral:rRNA from 1 species
GACGAACGCUGGCGGCGUGCUUAACACAUGCAAGUCGAACGGUGAAGCGCCUUCCUUUUUGGUGGGUGUGGAUGAGUGGCGAACGGGUGAGUAACACGUGAGUAACCUGCCCCCUUCUUCUGGAUAACCGCAUGAAAGUGUGGCUAAUACGGGAUAUUCUGGGUCUGUCGCAUGAUGGGUCUGGGAAAGAUAUUGUUUCGGUGGGGGAUGGGCUCGCGGCCUAUCAGCUUGUUGGUGGGGUGAUGGCCUACCAAGGCGGUGACGGGUAGCCGGCCUGAGAGGGUGGACGGUCACACUGGGACUGAGGCACGGCCCAGACUCCUACGGGAGGCAGCAGUGGGGAAUAUUGGACAAUGGGCGGAAGCCUGAUGCAGCGAGGCCGCGUGAGGGAUGGAGGCCUGCGGGUUGUGAACCUCUUUCGCCAGUGAAGCAGGCCUGCCUCGUUUGUGGGUGGGUUGACGGUAGCUGGAUAAGAAGCGCCGGCUAACUACGUG